GCCAGACUCCUACGGGAGGCAGCAGUGGGGGAUAUUGCACAAUGGGGGGAACCCUGAUGUAGCGACGCCGCGUGGGUGAAGGAGCGUUUCGGCGCGUAAAGCCCUCUCGGCAGGGAAGAAGGAGGACGGUACCUGACUAAGAAGCCCCGGCUAACUACGUGCCAGCAGCCGCGGUAAUACGUAGGGGGCAAGCGUUGUCCGGAUUUACUGGGUGUAAAGGGGGCGCAGACGGCAGCGCAAGCCAGGAGUGAAAGCCCGGGGCCCAACCCCGGGACUGCUCUUGGAACUGCGCGGCUGGAGUGCAGGAGGGGCAGGCGGAAUUCCUGGUGUAGCGGUGAAAUGCGUAGAUAUCAGGAGGAACACCGGUGGCGAAGGCGGCCUGCUGGACUGCGACUGACGUUGAGGCCCGAAAGCGUGGGGAGCAAACAGGAUUAGAUACCCCGGUA
rnacentral:rRNA from 1 species